CACGAACCUUCUAUACCGAUCUGGAUUCCUUUCUCAACCCCAAAUUUUCUAUCAGUGUAAUGGGUCUGCUACUCGCUGUGCUCUGUUGAAGAGCUUUUCUGGUUGCGAAAACGAAAACAGCGAGAAUGGCGGCUUUUGAAGAAGUUGGCUGAUGUGGUUGAAUAGUUGGUCGAAGUUAUCUGCGUUUGGUUUGGAUUGGAUUUGGAGAAUGCACUGUUUGUUCCUUUUGUUCAUCUACACACUGGAAUACCAGAAUAUUUGAAAAAAGAGGCAGAGAGGGAGAUAAAGAAGUUGCAAUGUGCAUGUAGGUGCAUGUCUGAUACUAGAUACGGUAAAAGUUUUUUUUUCAACUACUUGAGCUUCAUUUUCAUCAUAUGUUCAUACGAAUUAUAAAUUCCAUUUACAUUUCAGAUUUUACUAAUUAAAGUACUGCUCUGUAAUGAAGUAAACUACUACUCUGUAAUAUAAAUGUGAUACGUAAUGUUAUUGCUUCAAAUAGGGACAUUCUUCUAUUGUUGUGGAAACAAAGUUCACUCCCUAUUUAAUCGUCAAAAUAACAAUAUAUAAGAGGUGCAGGUGAAUUUUUGAAAUCUUAUUAUUUGUGAGUGUAAUCGGGAUCUUCUCGAUAUUAUUCCUUGAAAAUUAGUUAAUUGUAAUUUCGAAUUUUGAACCAGCAAAAACAGGUCUGUUGAUGUUUUUACCACAAAAACCAGGGAAUUUAGCAGUCAUUGGUCCAUAACUUGAUCCACUCGACUGGGAUACUUAGUAGCACAAGCAUCCUCUUUUACUCUUGCGGUUCUUUGCAAGCUUUCAAUGUUGUUACCUACUUUGUUCCUUUAAUUACUUUCAUUUUGGUGCAAUGACUUACCAGACAUUAGCUUAUAUCUUUUCAUCUUCUUUGCUACAUCUCAAUUAUAAGUAUCUGUGAAAUUGUUUGAAGAAAAGUGUGGACAAAACAACUUUUUUGGGCAGACUCCAGAAGAAAUUGGAGCUCCUAACUUCUGUAACAAGAUAAUGC